rnacentral:rRNA from 1 species
CAGCCGCCGCGGUAAUACGAAGGGGGCUAGCGUUGUUCGGAUUAACUGGGCGUAAAGGGCGCGUAGGCGGGUUUUUAAGUCAGAGGUGAAAUCCCAAGGCUCAACCUUGGAACUGCCUUUGAUACUGGAAGUCUUGAGUCCAGGAGAGGUGAGUGGAACUGCGAGUGUAGAGGUGAAAUUCGUAGAUAUUCGCAAGAACACCAGUGGCGAAGGCGGCUCACUGGCCCGGUACUGACGCUGAGGCGCGAAAGCGUGGGGAGCAAACAGGAUUAGAUACCCCCGUAGUCCCUGUCUCUUAUAC